rnacentral:rRNA from 1 species
GACGAACCGUGCAAACGUUAUUCGGAAUCACUGGGCCUAAAGGGCGCGUAGGCGGCUUUCUAAGUCAGGGGUGAAAUCCGGCAGCUCAACUGUCGCAGUGCCUUUGAUACUGGAGAGCUCGAGGGAGGUAGGGGUCUGUGGAACUUCCGGUGGAGCGGUGAAAUGCGUUGAUAUCGGAAGGAACGCCGGUGGCGAAAGCGACGGACUGGAUCUCUUCUGACGCUGAGGCGCGAAAGCCAGGGGAGCAAACGGG